GCGUCCUAGAUGGUCCAAAGAAGCCAUGGGACCGAGCUAACUCUGCAGACAGGUCAAUGGUUUCAUGGUGAGACAGUUUAUCUGAUAUAUGUAAUAAUGUGUAAUGUAUGUGAUAAGCAGUGAUCGUAGUAUUAUUUUUCCAUGUCACAGGGCCAAAAACGCAGGAAGUGGCAGCGACACAGAUUCUGUAGACCUCGAUAGGAUGAAACAAGAAGUUCUGGAUGAAGUGUUUCGUGAAUUACACAAAGUGAAGGAUGAAAUCAUUGAUGUCCUUAGAAAUGAACUCAGUCGAAUCAGCACGACAUAAUCUUUCGGAGCCACUCCCAGACAUGGACCACCUUUUUUGAUCCAUCACCCUCACCCACCCCGCACCCCCUUAGCCCUACCAGCCCCUUGCAGCAGCUGCCGUGGCCUAGGAAAGGAAGAAGAUAAGGAAGAGGAGAGGAAGUGGCUGAAAGGGAGGCCUAAACUGUGACAUAUACACGUGUCUGUGUUACAUUUGGUUUUCUGGGGCCACACUCACACUGCUCACUCAGAUUUCUAUACGUGUGUGUGUGUGUGUGUGUCGGCCCUUUUUUUUGCCUCUGUGAUUAGACCCAAAAAGAAAACAUUUAUAUGAUUUUAUUUAUUGUUUUUUUGACAUCAUUUUCACAACACUUUUUUUUUUUUUUGAUUUCUUGCAAUUAUUUUAUUGUCACCGCCCUCAUUUUUAUGAUUGUAAGUGUAAUGUUAAAAUGAGUGCUAGUUUAGUGUAAGAGCAAUGAUAAUAAUGAGGCUGUGAUGGUUAGAAGAUGAUAGCAACGUCAGUCUAAUUUUUUUAUCAGUUUUGUUCAUUUGGGUUGGAUUUUUUUUUUUUUUUACAUUUUUUCACAAUCACUCCCAAUGGGAGCUUUUCUAUUAUUUGAUCACACAUUGUUUUUGAAACAGUUGUUACCCUGUUGCUGACACUGUUAAAUGUGGAGCCAUGGCAAAAAAGAAUAUUAUUUUAAAAAAAAACAAAACACACACAGAAGAAGAGGCUUCACCCUAAAACCAGAGCCAGAAAAUCUCCUUUGGAUAUUGCAUACUGUACGUAUGAUCUUAAUAAAUAAUUAAAUAAAAAUAAUUCA
ensembl:lncRNA